AACAAACGCUGGCGGCGUGCCUAAUACAUGCAAGUCGAACGGGGAAAGCUUUCGGGUGAGUACUAGUGGCGCACGGGUGAGGAACGCGUGGAUAAUCUGCCUUAGAGUGGGGGGUAACUAGUCGAAAGAUUAGCUAAUACCGCAUAAGACCACAGGAGCUGCGGCUCAAGGGGUCAAAGGUUUUUCGCUCUAAGAUGAGUCCGCGUAAGAUUAGCUAGCUGGUGAGGUAACGGCUCACCAAGGCGACGAUCUUUAACUGGUCUGAGAGGAUGAUCAGUCACACUGGAACUGAGACACGGUCCAGACUCCUACGGGAGGCAGCAGUAGGGAAUAUUGCACAAUGGAGGAAACUCUGAUGCAGCGACGCCGCGUGAGUGAUGAAGGCCUUCGGGUCGUAAAGCUCUGUCGCAGGGGAAUAACACAAUGAAGGUACCCUGUAAGAAAGGAUCGGCUAACUUCGUGCCAGCAGCCGCCGUAACAC
rnacentral:rRNA from 1 species